UCAUCCUAACAAGCCCUGAUCUCUGGAAACCCACUGCAAAGAUAUAUUUUACAUUCUUUGGGCUGUUCCCGUUCCCCUUCCGUACAGCUGCUACGCCCAUUAAAUGUUCCGAGUUCCGGUUGCUUUGGAGCUCACGUAGAGACCAUAAAAGAAGCUUUGCAUACAUAUGUAUGUAUGUAUUAGCAGCAGAAAUAGUAGCAGCAGAUGCAUGGGACAUCUUGCACUAAAACAGUGCGAAAGACAGAGCGGGGUUGGAGGUAAGCAACGGAUACGGACACGGACACAGACACGGAACAGGCGACAUUUGAAUGCCCUACUCCAUUCUGAACCUUUCUCAAGCCAUGCGAGAGAGUAACAAAGUGAAGUGAUCAUCAUCAGCAGGGAGAGCAUCUCGAGACGCUUUCCCGCAUAGGACGGAGCCAGACACGUUCCAUGGACAUGCGAGCUGAGAAAUGGAGCAAUUCCAGGCACAGGCACAGCCAGCAUCCAACAUUGAGCACCGAGUGCCAUGGCAUCCUCUGGAGUAUACAUGGGUCAAGCCAGCUAGUUGUUCCUGGUCCGGCAUGCACCGUUAAAUCUCCUAAUCGACACGGACGGCCACAGUUGGCCCGAAAAAUGAAAUCCGUAAAACUUUUACCAGUUGCAUUUAGAAAAUGGCCAAAGGAGCUCUCUGGCCGAGGGCCAAGGCAACCAAUGCAGCCAACGCAGCAUCUAGUCACGAUGGAAGGGAUGGAAUGGAAACUGUUGGAGACAAGGCAAGCCGGGGGAAUUAGAAUUUCGGAUGGAAAAUAUCCAACUGUGCACCAUGUUAAUGGCAAAUGGCGUUCGCAGUUGUCCUCCCUGCCAAAAUUCCUCCUUACGGGCUGCUCUCAUUCUCUCCCACCUAAAUGAUCCGGUCUCCGUCUCCGUCUCCGUCUCGGUGUCAGCUUCGGUUUCAGUCUCAGUCAGUACAAGGGUGCGAACAGCAAAGGGUCGGGAGCAGUAUACGAAAAUUUAUUACACUCGAAAUAGUGUAUAUGUAUGUUUGUAUGUGUGUAUGUAUGUAUGCAUGUACAUUGUGCAUAUAGAUAAACGUAUUCACAGACAUCAUAUAUAGAUGUGACUCGGCAUAUAGGAAUGCAAGUACGGGUAUAUGCAUCUGGAGUAAAGCUUAAAAGUGUGUGUACGACGUAAGCCAAUUUUCAGGCGAAACGUUAACUGCCAGAAAAUGAAAUGAACUACAAGGCGAAAGAGACACACGCACACAGAUAACUUAAUGGGAAACUUUUUAGCUUGGAUAACAUUCGCUGGAGUCAGCCAAAUGCCUAAUGAAUCAACUUCAGGAAGCGACUUUUAGUCGCAUAUUGUCGCCACGAUAGGGCCACCAUAUGGAGCACACGAAGGCCGUUGUGCGAUGGCUAAUCAAGGCUACUUUAAAAAUCGGUUCUGAGCUUCAGGAGGCUAUCCGUAGAGAUACAACUGGCCUAAGAAGCUGUUAAGGCUAGGCUCAUCCUCAGAAUCAUAUUUGUUGAGUGAUCUUAUCAUAACGUAUCAUUAGGUAUGAACUGGAACAGCUAUGACUUCGUCUGAUGUCGGGGUCACCAUUGUUACGAUCUUAGGAAAUGGCAGGUAAAUGAAAUGAAUAGGUACUGCAUUAUUUGUAGUUGCAAUUAAUACAUUAUUUGGUGAUUAUGAGUGAAAUAUCAAUAUGAAUAAAUAAAUAUGACAA
rnacentral:sRNA from 15 species